UGGGGAAUAUUGCACAAUGGGCGCAAGCCUGAUGCAGCCAUGCCGCGUGUGUGAAGAAGGCCUUCGGGUUGUAAAGCACUUUGUCCGGAAAGAAAUCCUUGGCUCUAAUACAGUCGGGGGAUGACGGUACCGGAAGAAUAAGCACCGGCUAACUACGUGCCAGCAGCCGCGGUAAUACGUAGGGUGCAAGCGUUAAUCGGAAUUACUGGGCGUAAAGCGUGCGCAGGCGGUUUGCUAAGACCGAUGUGAAAUCCCCGGGCUCAACCUGGGAACUGCAUUGGUGACUGGCAGGCUAGAGUAUGGCAGAGGGGGGUAGAAUUCCACGUGUAGCAGGUGAAAUGCGUAGAGAUGUGGAGGAAUACCGAUGGCGAAGGCAGCCCCCUGGGCCAAUACUGACGCUCAUGCACGAAAGCGUGGGGAGCAAAACAGGAUUAGAUACCCUGGUAGUCCACGCCCUAAACGAUGUCAACUAGUUGUUGGGGGAUUCAUUUUCCUUAGUAACGUAGCUAACGCGUGAAGUUUGGACCGCCUGGGGAGUACGGUCGCAAGAUUAAAACUCAAAUGAAUUGAC
rnacentral:rRNA from 1 species